rnacentral:rRNA from 1 species
UGGGGAAUAUUGCACAAUGGGCGAAAGCCUGAUGCAGCAACGCCGCGUGAGCGAUGAAGGCCUUCGGGUCGUAAAGCUCUGUCCUCAAGGAAGAUAAUGACGGUACUUGAGGAGGAAGCCCCGGCUAACUACGUCGCC